AGCACAGCCAGUUUUUCCUCCAGCGUUGGAACAGCUCACUGUUUCUUCAGUUGAGCACCAGACGAAGUAGUUGGCUUGCAUUUAGCAGCCAUGUUAUAUGAAAAAUACGUAUCUUUAAGCACUCAGUGCGGCGAGAUGCUCACACUGUGAUAGGCACGUGGGAACUGAGACUGACUGAGGGAACAGGAGAUUCAUGUCUCCCAUCUCACGCUCACUCCGGGGCAUACACUCAUUGGGUGGAAUCGCCCGCACUAUUUACAGGUGAUUUUUCUUCUCCUGACUGGUUGCAGAUUGAAAGUAAUGCCUAGCCCAACGGGUUCCUGGUCCACCAAUAGGGAUUGAAGGUGUUAGAGCAGAAUCAGUGCCAUUAAGGACCCCAUUCCAAGGUACUUAAGAUACAUGCUAGCCCCAUCUGAUAUCUGCAAGAAACUGUCUGACCUGAAAGUGAAAAUAAAAGCCAGGAAGAGAGCCACUGGGAGAAGUGGAGCUGAUAGUGCCCAAUCUGGAAGACUCCAACUACGAGCCAGAACAUGAAAGGCUCACAGAGGAAGGAGUAAGUACAGAGAGAAAAGAAAGGCUACAGAGGGUAAGGAAAACUGAAGAGAUGUGUAAGGAGAUAGCAGAGGAUUUCUUUUAAUAAGUUCUUUAUUUCCAUGCCGCAGAGUAGCACCGCAACCUACGCUCACGAGCAUCGUUCCCAAGCGGCUCUGGCAGCAGCAGUCCACCCAGGGCGACAGCCGAGUCUGCCACCCAGCCAGCAGGAGACCACCUCAGCAGCAGCCACACGGGCUUCUGUAUCUGGUACCUGAGGAGAAACUUCAUGUCAAGGGAAGCAGGCAGCCGCUUGAGCAGCAUCACAACACAGCCGCUCCAUGCCCGCCACCUACAAACCAUGCUCCCGAGCAUGGAGACAGAGCAGAAGGACCAAAGACAGUCUCAGAGGGAUUAAACUAAGAUUUCCUGUAAACCUAAUCUUUCUGUUUGCCCGUUUAUUCCUUUCAUGUAUGGGUUUGACGUGUAAAUAAAGCUGGAUGCUUGUGCUCUGGGUGAGAUCUGCUCCUACCCAUUUAGUAACUGCCAGGCCAGUGUUUACUAUAUGCUUAGUUUUAAGUAUUUAAUAUUGUUACAUGUUUGAUGGUUAUAUUGUUAUAAAGUAUAGAUUAAGUGAAUGAUUCUAUUGUUAUAUGCCAUAGAGUUAAUUGAAAUUGUUGUAGUGUUUCAUUUUUAUUUGCCACACUGCUUCAUUCCCUUUUUAACUGUAACCCUAUUUUAUCUCUCUGCUCUUUUACUGUAACCACUCACUUCUAAAUAUUUGUUUUUAAAGAAUUUACUACUUGUUUGCCUAUUCUUGAUCGGGGGGCUGUAUCCGUGUUCUUUCAAGGUAAAGUUAGCUAGCUGCAGCUUUCCCUGGAACUCCCUUUAGGGCAGACCACAAUU